rnacentral:piRNA from 1 species
UGACUUUGAUCCUUUUUCAAC